GAUGAACGCUGGCGGCGUGCUUAACACAUGCAAGUCGAACGAGAAGUGGAGACGGAAACCUUCGGGCGGAAGACUUUACUCCGAUGGGCGGCCGGGGGAUUAACCCGUGGUUAACCUGCCUCAACCAGGGGGAUAACGGUUGAAAACGACUGUAAAUACCGCAUAGGACAACACAACCCCAUGGUGCGGGGUUAAAAACUCCGGUGGAAUGAGAUGGACCCGCGUUGGAUUAGCCAGUUGGCGGGGUAACGGCCCACCAAAGCGACGAUCGAUAGCCGAUCUGAGAGGAUGACCGGCCACACUGGGACUGAGACACGGCCCAAACUCCUACGGGAGGCAGCAGUGGGGAAUAUUGCACAAUGGGGGAAACCCUGAUGCAGCGACGCCGCGUGAGUGAAGAAGUAUUUCGGUAUGUAAAGCUCUAUCAGCAGGGAAGAAAAUGACAGUACCUGAGUAAGAAGCCCCGGCUAACUACGUG
rnacentral:rRNA from 1 species